rnacentral:rRNA from 1 species
UACGUAGGGUGCAAGCGUUGUCCGGAAUUAUUGGGCGUAAAGAGCUCGUAGGCGGUCUGUCGCGUCGGAUGUGAAAAUCCAGGGCUCAACCCGGGACCUGCAUUCGAUACGGGCAGACUAGAGUUCGGUAGGGGAGACUGGAAUUCCUGGUGUAGCGGUGAAAUGCGCAGAUAUCAGGAGGAACACCGGUGGCGAAGGCGGGUCUCUGGGCCGAAACUGACGCUGAGAAGCGAAAGCGUGGGGAGCAAACAGG